AUUGAACGCUGGCGGCAUGCCUUACACAUGCAAGUCGAACGGCAGCACGGGAGCAAUCCUGGUGGCGAGUGGCGAACGGGUGAGUAAUAUAUCGGAACGUGCCCGGUCGUGGGGAUAACGUAGCGAAAGCUACGCUAAUACCGCAUACGAUCUACGGAUGAAAGCGGGGGAUCGCAAGACCUCGCGCGAUUGGAGCGGCCGAUAUCAGAUUAGGUAGUUGGUGAGGUAAAGGCUCACCAAGCCGACGAUCUGUAGCUGGUCUGAGAGGACGACCAGCCACACUGGGACUGAGACACGGCCCAGACUCCUACGGGAGGCAGCAGUGGGGAAUUUUGGACAAUGGGCGCAAGCCUGAUCCAGCAAUGCCGCGUGCAGGAUGAAGGCCUGGUGUAACUGUCUUUGUUACGGAACGAACGGUAGAG
rnacentral:rRNA from 1 species